CCAUGCCUACAAUCCCUUCUGAGGGAAGCUGUUUCCAAGUUGCCAUGCACUGUGUUACAUGACCCUGGUCACAAGUGGUUAGACCAGUAACUUAAAUUAAUAGUUCAACAUUCCUGUACUUUGGAAAAUGUGAUUGUGUCAGAGAGACAGUUUUCUAUACUUCUUUAUUUCAUUCUGUAUCCAGAAGUAACCAGAGGUGUCUCUGUUUCUUUGCAAUAAACACACAAU
rnacentral:lncRNA from 1 species